GAGAGAGAGAGAGAAGAGGGUGCACGUAGAAAACUGGUAUCGGCACAAUGCCAUCGGAAUACGCUAUCCAGCCGCUAUUUCAGCUCGAGAAGAGAGGGUAGAGCAAGAAACAGACGCCACCGGAAAUCAUCAUUCUAACCGGGUACGUUUAAUCGAAGGGAAAACCGGAAUACGCCGCGGGCUGACUGACAACAGGAUCAACCUGCUCUGUGGAUGUAUCGAAGCCAAGAUUCCAUUCCGGCUCGAUUUUUCUACAUCGACACGGCGACCGAGUAUCCCCACUCCUCCACAACCGACUCUUUUCUUCUACCGCUGAUUAAUUACACAUAUUGUUAGACGAGCGUUCUUCUUCUCGAUCGUGUAAACGUGGCGCCAUUCUGAUCGAGAUGGGAAUGGGAAACGUCGGAAACGUUGGUAACACUGGUCUACACCGGUCCUAUUUGCGCUGCGAACGUCAGAGCGCACCGCAAAAUCCAUAUCCCUAAGUUUCGAGGAUACGACACGAGGAUAUCGUGGCCGGCACGUACACCAGCUGGUCCAACUUCUUGUCCAACGUCGACAGCUGCAACGAAAACGAAAAAUCGGAAUUGGAAUCAGUGAGAGCAAGAACCCCCGACUUCUGGAGGGGAUAUGUCCGUGGAUCAUUCGUGGCUCGAAGAGGAAGAGUGCGAGAGAGAGAGAGAGAGA